GCGCCGGUAGCUCAGUGGAUAGAGCAUCUGGCUUCGGACCAGAUGGUCGUGGGUUCGAAUCCUGCCCGGCGCGCCA
rnacentral:tRNA from 3 species